rnacentral:other from 1 species
AGAGUCCUAGCGUGUUCGUGAGCGACUGACAGUUUUGAGCCAACAUUUUUUUAUUGGGAGUAUCAAGUCUUCUUUUGGAAUACAUGCCUUCAUUUGUGAGGACGUAUAAAGAAAGAAGCUGGACACCCACCUGCGAGAGCAGGUUCAAAACUAGGGAGUUACGGCACUUUGGGUCUCUU